rnacentral:rRNA from 1 species
GACGAACGCUGGCGGCGCGCCUAAUGCAUGCAAGUCGAGCGACGCAUGCCCGGUGGGUAACCACUAGGUAUGACGGAGCGGCGAACGGGUGAGUAACACGUGAGUAACCUGCCCCGAAGACCGGGAUAGCCCGGGGAAACCCGGAUUAAUACCGGAUACCCUCUCUGGAUCGCAUGGUCCGGUGAGGAAAUGCCUUUGUGCUUCGGGAUGGACUCGCGGCCUAUCAGCUUGUUGGUGAGGUAACGGCUCACCAAGGCUACGACGGGUAGCUGGUCUGAGAGGACGAUCAGCCACACUGGGACUGAGACACGGCCCAGACUCCUACGGGAGGCAGCAGCAGGGAAUCUUGUCCAAUGGGCGAAAGCCUGAGACAGCGACGCCGCGUGAGGGAUGAAGGCCUUCGGGUUGUAAACCUCUUUCAGGAGGGACGAAAUUGACGGUACCUCCAGAAGAAGCCCCGGCCAACUACGUG